GCUGUCUGCCGGUGAGAAGAAAUCCUCGGCGAGGGCGGAGGUGGGUUAGAUCGGCGGGUAGUGGGAGGGGGAGGGGGGAUAGAAGGCGUCCAGUAGGGGGCGGGGGCGGGGCCGUUAUGAAUCCCUCGGCUUCGUCUGUGGGCGGCGAUGGCAGACACGACGACGACGCUGCCCUCACCGAGUUACUCGCCUCCCUCAUGGAUUACACUCCCACGAUUCCUGACGAGCUGGUGGAGCAUUACCUCGCAAUGAGUGGUUGCCACUGCCCGACAUAAGACUUGGUAACAAUGUUAGAUGGAAAUGGAAAUAUAUUGAGUUGUAGACUCGAAGUCCCCUUUGUCAUGCGUGGUGAAAAUUUGAAUAAUAAUGAAAUCAGGAAUGGAUUAGAGGGCAACAAAAUCAAGGUUGGCUGCAGACUCCAGUGGGAGGUCAAGAUAGUUUGCAUGGAAGAAACAUGAGAAACUUGUGACCAAUCUGUGCUUACCGUUCAUCAUAUGAAAGUCGUGAUAUAUAUGCUGUUUCUGACCUUGUGGGAUAUGGACAAAGCUGAUUUCUGUUGCUACACAAAAGUUUUCGCAGACGUUGCAAGUGAUGCUCUUCAGUAUGUAUCCUGUAAAUUUCUUGAUGUCAAUCUUUGAUAAUUCUUCUAGUGGGAAGAGAAGCUAGGAGUGCUGUUUUCAGAUCAUCUGUGUGCAGGAGAGAUUCUAUGGGGGGAAAGUUUGGAGAUCCAUAUGAAGGAGAAGUCACUAGGAAUAGAAGUGUGUGAGAGAGAAGGGGCUUUGACAAGACACAUUGUGACUCUAGUGAUGUAGUACGACAUGCCUUGAUAAGAAACUGGAAGGGGAACCUUUGAUAAUGGCUCUAGUGAUGUAGUAUGACUUGCCUUGAAAAGAAACUGGAAGGGGAACCUUUGAUAAUGGCUCUAGUGAUGUAGUACAACUUGCCUUGAUAAGAACUUUUUCCAUUUGUCAUUGUAACAGAUAUUCUAUUUUGCAUGAGUGCAUUUCAAGAUGACAUUUUACAUCCUAAUAAACAACUGAAGUCAAACAUCUCCAAUUUGAGAAAUUGCUGUUUGAUGAAGAGAAAUUCUUUGCUAUAAAUUUGAUAAAUUACUGUAUGAAGUUGCUUCUUUUUGGUAACUAUGGAAACAAAUUACAGAUGAGUCCAGAUUAGGCUCCUAUAUCAUUGCCUCCUUCCGUUUCCCAAGUUUUGGUAAGAUACUGAAUUAUUAACUCAAUUAGUGAAACUCAUACCAUUUUUGUAUUUGUUCUUUGCAAUAUUUAAUUAGGCAUUGUAAAGCGAGACAAGCAGCACCAGUCAAGGAUAAAAUUGAGCAACCAAAGGAUUAGCGGCUUGUCCUGACAAUGGAUGAUCUUUCAAAGGCUCUCCAAGAGGUUAAUAAACUAAAACAUUUUGCAUUCACUAGCUUUUCAAAGGUGCCGUCGGUGAGGCGGCCGUGUUGGGGAGGGAAAAGGUACAAACUUUGAUUUGAGGAACAUGUGUCGGAUGAAUCAGGAGACGCAACAGAGUGGCAAAAAAAUCUUUGCCUUCUCCUCCAUGGAGUUCUGCUACUAAUUCUGCAUACCAUCCGGCACGACUGUUCAUGCUGCCAAAAGUAAUUUUGCAGCAUGAACAGCACUCCUGUGUUCUCUAUGGCUAGGCUCUUCCCGUCUUGAAAUUUGAAGGUCUUCUAUUCCACUCAUGGGAACCUAAUGACUCUCGGUUCCCUUGGCAAUGAGUUUAAGCAGAAAGUCAACGGAAGUUAUGUUAAUUAAAGUCAUCUUCCUGGUUGUAUUCAACCAUUAUAUUAAAGAAGAUGAUGGAGGCAUGGAGCUGGCUGAUAAUUUCUCCCAUAAUGGUGUCAUUAUUUUUGAAACCAGUGUUGGUGCUAGUAUGUUGUUGGAGCAGUUCUGUAUCAUCCAUUUCAG